rnacentral:rRNA from 1 species
GAUGAACGCUGGCGGCGUGCCUAAUACAUGCAAGUCGAGCGGACGGACGAGAAUUUUGCUUCUCUUAUGUUAGCGGCGGACGGGUGAGUAACACGUGUAUACCCUACCUAUAAGACUGGGAUAACUUCGGGAAACCGGAUCUAAUACCGGAUAAUAUUUUGAACCUCGUGGUUCAUCAGAGAAAGACGGUCUUGCUGUCACUAAUAGAGGGUUCCGCGCUGCAUGAGCUAGUUGGUAAGGUAACGGCUUACCAAGGCUACGAUGCAUAGCCGACCUGAGAGGAUGAUCGGCCACACGGGAACUGAGACACGGUCCAGACUCCUACGGGAGGCAGCAGUAGGGAAUCUUCCGCAAUGGGCGAAAGCCUGACGGAGCAACGCCGCGUGAGUGAUGAAGGUCUUCGGAUCGUAAAGCUCUGUUAGUAGGGAAGAACAUAUGUGUAAGUAAAUGUGCACAUCUUGACGGUACCUAAUCAGAAAGCAACGGCUAACUACGUG